rnacentral:lncRNA from 1 species
AUACCUAUUAAGCCAACCCUAGUUAUACUUCUAGUUUUUCUUUGGGACCGAAAAAAGAAGCUGCAGCAUACAGACGACCCUGCCUGACCGAUCGUCUUCUUCGUGAAGACUUGGAGAACCGUCAGUAAUUUUUCAACCAAAAAGACCUAAGCAGCAACCUCCAUCCUCCAAAACACCAACGAAUCCCGCCCCCACCCGUUAUCUUCUCCUUCAACGACAAUCCAGCCCUAUUUCUCAAGUUGCUUGGACACAAGGAAAUCCUAGAAACUCAAUCGAAUGGACCAUUGGUGAAGUUGAAGCCCCUUCUUCGCUCGCUAGAUUUGGUCGCCGGCAGUGGUUUGGUGACAACGAUCUCUGAGGGGCCAUGAAAACCGGUCAGAAGCUCAGGUAAGAGCUCAAAAAUCCAGCUCUUCUGCCCAACUCCUCACCUCCCAAAAUAGUCUCUUAAAAUAGCUAAAGUGUCUUAAUCAAGUCGAGUUUCUCGUGGGUUAAAAGUCGAGUUGAUUCAGGUCAGUCGCUGGUUCGAGUUUGUGUUCGGCGAGGUCGUCGAUUUGUCGACGUUGACGUUCGUAACUCCAGUGCUGGUUCUGCUUGCUUUUGGCCAGUUUUCCUUGCCUCUGAUUAUUCCAUUCAGAAGUAUUAUUCAUGAGUUUAAUGUACCGUGUGAUCAUUUUUCUUGUUUUGAUUAGUUAGUUUAUUUGCGUCAAUUUAAUGGUGAUCUUGAACUUCCAUAGAUGUGUUUUGAGCUUCUGUCAUUUUUUGCGCUAGAAUGCAUUCCUUGGUGAUACUUUUCAUUGUAUAAUUGACGUUGUUAUCUUGAAUAAGUUUAUUAGGAAACUUUUUGAAUAGUUGCUGCUCCAUUUGAUUAGCAUUAGGAAUUAUUGAGAUGGUAUGUUCAAUUAAGCUUAAAAUAUGACCUGGGCCCAAGCUGUUUAACGUGUUCAUGUGGAUUAAGGCAAAAAGAUUAAUGGAUCAUUGUUUAUAGUCUGAUUUGGAUGUCUUCAAAACCUAUUCUAAUUAAAUAAAGUUUCCUAGUA